rnacentral:rRNA from 1 species
UGCCAGCAGCCGCGGUAAUACGGAGGGUGCAAGCGUUGUUCGGAAUUAUUGGGCGUAAAGCGCGUGUAGGCGGUUCGUUAAGUCAGAUGUGAAAGCCCACAGCUCAACUGUGGAACUGCAUUUGAAACUGGCAAUCUAGAGUGCUGGAGAGGGAAGGGGAAUUCCAGGUGUAGAGGUGAAAUUCGUAGAUAUCUGGAGGAAUACCGGUGGCGAAGGCGCCUUCCUGGACAGACACUGACGCUGAGACGCGAAAGCGUGGGGAGCAAACAGGAUUAGAUA